rnacentral:rRNA from 1 species
AGAGUUUGAUCAUGGCUCAGAAUCAACGCUGGCGGCGUGCCUAACACAUGCAAGUCGAACGCGACUUGGACUUCGGUCCAAGUUGAGUGGCGAACGGGUGAGUAACACGUGGGUGACCUACCUUCGAGUGGGGGAUAACGUCCCGAAAGGGACGCUAAUACCGCAUAACAUCCUGCCUUUGAACAGGUGGAGAUCAAAGCCGGGGAUCGCAAGACCUGGCGCUUGAUGAGGGGCCCGCGCCUGAUUAGCUAGUUGGUGGGGUAAUGGCUCACCAAGGCGACGAUCAGUAUCCGGCCUGAGAGGGCGGACGGACACACUGGGACUGAGACACGGCCCAGACUCCUACGGGAGGCAGCAGUGGGGAAUUGUUCGCAAUGGGCGCAAGCCUGACGACGCAACGCCGCGUGGAGGAUGAAGGUCUUCGGAUUGUAAACUCCUGUUGCUCGGGACGAAAAGCUUCGACCCAAUACGUCGAAGUCUGACGGUACCGAGGAGAG